UACGUAGGGUGCGAGCGUUGUCCGGAAUUAUUGGGCGUAAAGAGCUCGUAGGCGGUCUGUCGCGUCGGAUGUGAAAAUCCAGGGCUCAACCCUGGACCUGCAUUCGAUACGGGCAGACUAGAGUUCGGUAGGGGAGACUGGAAUUCCUGGUGUAGCGGUGAAAUGCGCAGAUAUCAGGAGGAACACCGGUGGCGAAGGCGGGUCUCUGGGCCGAUACUGACGCUGAGGAGCGAAAGCGUGGGGAGCGAACAGG
rnacentral:rRNA from 1 species